rnacentral:lncRNA from 10 species
AACACCUAUGUUGAUUGUUUGGUGCAUAAGAAUUGAGAUGAUGGAAAGAGGUCACUGUGAGCUUCAGGAAUAGCUUGAGGCUAACUGAUAAAACAGAGUGGAUUGACAAUUAUUCUCUGGACUUUUUGGUAACCAAGAACUUCUAGCAACUAACCCUGGCAUGACCACCAGAAUCUGCAGGGCUGAGAGAAGAAAGAAAGGCAAAAGUGGAUGAAUGCAGCUGAAGAUGCUGUGGAACUCCUAUCACAUUCCAAGUGCUGUGUUGAUAUCUGGAGAUAUAGACAAGAUCGAAGCAGAUGCAGUCUUUCACAUGAAUAUUUGAAUCAGGCAGUAUGUUCCCCAAAUUAGCAAAGUAUCUCCCAGAUUUUUUCUUUGAUGAUAUAUUUGAAAUCCUAAUGCUGAAAGUUAAAUUAUCAGGGUUUUAAAACUAGAAGCAGUCAUUAUCAGAAUUUUAUAUACUAUUUAUUUUUAAGAACGUAAUUUGACUGUUUAAGUCUUAUUAUAAUUUUAAGUGAAGUACUUUGGGCAGUCAUAAAUAAAGUAAUGGGCAGGUAUUUAGUAUUCAUAUUGUGUGGAUUCAUAUCCAUACUCUGCCACUCAGUAUCUCUGGGAUUUUGAUGAAUGAUCAAACUCUCUGAGCCUCAGUUUUCUAAUCUGUAAAGCAGAAAUGAUAAUGGUAUGUAGUGAUAAUUAAACAAUUUACUAGUUGUAAGUGCUUAGAACAGUUCCUGGAAUAGAGAAAAUUUGCAGAGAGAUUUUUAUUGUUUACAAUUUAGUUAAUGGAAUGGCUUCAAUAAUACAGUAAAAUUAAGAUAUUCAAACAAGCAGGAUGCAGGUGAUGGGUAUUGGCCUCAGCUUUAGAGACCAGAGGUUAAAUCUCAGUGCUGCCUGCCACAAAACGAUCCAUGUAAGUCAAUAAACAAUGCUUUUUAAAAUAUUAUUAUAAAGAUAUAGUGUGUGGAUCCCUCUCAAUUGUCCAUUCUUCCCUGUCACAAAAAUUUGCCUGCUUUUCGUUACCAUGUGAGAGGCAAAUGAAUUGAACUAAAUGGUUUCUAAUGCCCUGUCCACCUCUAAAAUUCUAUAGAACUGUGAUUUGAUUCCAAUGGGCCAUAUCAGGACUCGGCAUUAUUUUCAUCAGUGAACCAUUUCAUUAGAAAUUUAUUUUUCCAAAUGAUAUUAGUAAAUAUUGAAGGAGGCUUCUCCCACAGAGCUUCUUGUACAAAUUAAAACAGGGCAGUAGAAGGUUUUCAGGUUGGUGAAGUCAACUCUGGCUUUUAGUCAACCAUUCCAAAAAAACAUUUUCUUUAGAAUCCAAGGGCUUGCAAUUGUUCUGAAUAAAGCAUAAAGAAGCUGUUCUGAUUUAUUAAAUAAAAAGAGUACCA